AGAAUAUUGAAUUUAAUGUCCAAGAAAAGCUUGUCCAAUUUAUGUCUCCUGCCAAGCUUGGAAGUUGAAACUUUGGCCAAGAAAUUUUAUUGAUGAUCGUUAAACAAGCUCACAUAAAAUGCCAACUGAAAAAUUCCAUUGUGUUCAUGCUCUUUUUCUCAUUUUUUCUUGUACUAUCUUCUUACUCUUCACAUAAUUCAUUGCUACGGGUGUUUUGUAAGAAACUCCUAGCCUACAUAAAGCUAAUUGAGUUUAAAGUGUAAAUAUAAUCAUCUUAAAUUAUGGUAAAC
rnacentral:lncRNA from 1 species